rnacentral:ncRNA from 1 species
UUACCCUCCUGCACGUCGCUGUAAAUCCAGCGACCGGGUUUGGUAGCCCGACUU